UGAGGCCGUUGUUGUAAGCACAGUGCACGCCCUCACCAGAUGGAAAGUGUGGCCUCGACACUCUCGGUUUACGUGACCUGCGUGAGCCGAAGCAAUUGACCACUCAGCACCGACCGGCACACUGCCACUACCUACUCCACUCUCCUCGAACCCGAUUGUUAGCCCAAGAACAGACUCUGUUGGGUUACACACGGACGUCCCUACUAACAGUUCGUUCCAGGUUGUUAUGGAGUCUCGGGAACACCUUGCAGACGACACUCGCACUUGAAGCUUGACAGGUCUUCCGGGGUGAGGCGUGGGGCCGACCCGGGAUGAUGGCUGCAUCCGGUGGGGGGACGCGUUCUGGGGCCAGCAAAAUAAUACCGGGCUCAGAAGGCGCCGCGGGCAGGGAAUGUUGGCCCAAAACAAAUGUGAGUCUGUGGCAGUCUCACCCUGUUAUUGCUCCCCGGAGGCAGUAGCUCUGAUGCAUACACCGGCCUGCCCAACGGUGUCUAGCUAUUAAAUAACAAUGA